UUGCUUACCUGGCAGGGGUAAUACCAUGAUCAAGGAGGCAGUUUGGCCAACAUGAGGCUUGCGCUCAGGAUGUGCUGACCUUUGUAAAUUCCCCAAAUGCUGGAAUUCAACUGGAUAAUUUCUGAUUGUGGGGGACUGCGUUUUCACUGUCCUUUC